rnacentral:antisense_RNA from 1 species
UGUGGGAGCGGGCUUGCUCGCGAUGGGCGCAACGCGGUGUAUCUAUUGCACCGCAGCGAUCCAAUCGCGAGCAAGCUCGCUCCCACA